UCUGGCUGUGAUGACACCCUUGCCCUCACUGAGAACACUGUUCAAUAAUGAGAACCUUGCUACGGACUCAGAAGAGCUGAGCUGGA